rfam:Triticum aestivum genome assembly, contig: Triticum_aestivum_CS42_TGACv1_scaffold_559612_7AL
AGCUGCUCAGCGGGCACAAAGCGAACUAUUCUUUCGCCUUUUACUAAAGAAUACCGUGUGCACACUGCAAUACGCAGCAUACGCUAAUUUUUUUUAAGGGAUCCUUCUUACCAGGAGGGC